GAUCGCUUGAUAUGAGACACAUACUGUAUUUAAAGGUGAUGUAUGCAUGUUACUUUCAAUACUGACAUUAAAAUAAUAGUUAUUUACUGUUAAAAACAUUUUGAAAAUUGAAGUUUUGUGUGUUCUUAUUGUACUUUAUAUCGUUUAUAACAGGUCAACUUUAUACUGUAAGCUUCAUUCCAUUUAUAACAGAGUUUUCAUAUGUGAGGUAAUCUUGCUGGGAGUGAAGGCAGUGCGUAUGACCGCUUGAUACGAGAGACACAUUCUAUUUUUAAAGGUCAACAUACUGAUGACCACAGCCAGGUGAUGGAGAUCUGUGUUAAUCACAGCCUGCGUCUCAAGAUCAACAUGACAACAGCAGACCAUUUCUUAUCUUACUCUUAUCUGACUAAAUGUUCAGCAUUAUUGGAACAAAACAAAGAACAUUGGAUGGAGUAUUGGAGUAUUGGAUGAUCCCGUAAAGAAAAUAAUAUGGACUUUUUUGGUGAGAUUCUACAAAGAUUGACACAAUCCUAUUGACUUUUAUUUUUACAGUUAAUAAUGCAUUAUAAACAUCCCAUUCAUUUGUAUUCUAUGUCAUCGAUCUGUUUGUGCUAAAAUGUAUACAUCUGAAUGUAAUGUCAAUAAUAUGUUAAUAUUCAGGAUUUAUUAUCAUUUGCAUGUUUUGAUGUUGCAUGUCAUGAUUUUAUUGAUUUCAUGUAAUUGUUGUCUAUUUAAAAUUAUUUUAAUUGCCAAAUUUUACUUUUAAUUUAUUUAAUAUUGAAGCCGUUAUUUAACAUCCAUAUCUUAUUUGAGUAGUGAUUUGUUAUAUUUGCAUAAUAAUUCAUAUAUUUAUUCUGAUUGUGAUUUUAAUGCACAUAUUUAUUAUUGUAUGACACCUCAUGUAAUGAAAAAGUGAAAAUAAAAGUAUGUUCUGAAGUCUUG